CUUCGACCUGAGUUCAGACGAGACUACCCGCCGAACUUAAGCAUAUCAAUAAGCGGAGGAAAAGAAACUAA
rnacentral:rRNA from 1 species